rnacentral:rRNA from 1 species
UACGUAGGGAGCAAGCGUUAUCCGGAAUUACUGGGUGUAAAGGGAGUGUAGGCGGGGUAGCAAGUCAGAUGUGAAAAUUAUGGGCUCAACUCAUAACCUGCAUUUGAAACUGUUGCUCUUGAGUGAAGUAGAGGUAAGCGGAAUUCCUAGUGUAGCGGUGAAAUGCGUAGAUAUUAGGAGGAACAUCAGUGGCGAAGGCGGCUUACUGGGCUUUUACUGACGCUGAGGCUCGAAAGCGUG